rnacentral:tRNA from 1 species
GGCCCCAUCGUCUAGCCCGGUCUAGGACGCUACCCUCUCAAGGUAUAAACACGGGUUCAAAUCCCGUUGGGGCUACCA